rnacentral:rRNA from 1 species
AAACUUGAGAGUUUGAUCCUGGCUCAGAACGAACGCUGGCGGCAUGCCUAACACAUGCAAGUCGAACGAGACCUUCGGGUCUAGUGGCGCACGGGUGCGU